GCAGAGGGAGGCGGGAAUUCGUUAACGGCUGACUCAGGAGAAAGGCGGGAAAACUCUUAUGUGGGGCUCUGAGGGGAGAUAGAGCAAGAUAAGGCUCUGGGAGUGUUUAAAAAAAGGCGAAGAAAGUAUGGUAUCAGUUGCAGCUGAGAGAAGGAAGUUGUAUUUUGCAAAGGUUGUGGAGGAGAUUGGCAUUUGGUGGAGGAUGAAGUGAGGUUUUGUGUGUUUGAGGGCAGAAGGCCUUGGAGUGGGGUGCGUGGUGCUGGGAGAGGCACAGCCCGCUCCUUUGGGCCGUGCUGAGAGAACAUCGGGGCUUUUCUCGUUGUUUAAGCAGCCGACCCAGCGUCCCCACAGAAACGUUUUUUAAAAUAACCUCAGAGAAGGAGACUUCACUUCUGGGCAGCCAGUUUCAGCGCUCUGUGACCCUCAAAGUGCAGGACCCUAUGCUGCCUGUGUUGAACCUCCUCACGUUCCUCUGUGCCCAAUUCCGCCUGUCCAGCUGUUGCUGAAUGGCAGCCUUCUGCUGUGGAGUGCCACAGCCACUCCUCCUGGCUUUGUACCAUCAGCUGAGGGUGGAAUCUGUCCCUUCAUCCCGAUUGUUGAUGAAGAUAUUGAUCAAGAAUUGAUCAAGACAGAGAGGGAAAGCUGAGCCAGGAAUAGUGGAAAAGUGAGAGCAGGGAACGCUGGAAAUAACAACGGGGCCACCACCUGACACCACAGCAGCCUCAGAGCCUGCGUCGAUGAGGAAGGAUGGGUUGAAACCUGUUUGGAAACAGAAUGGAAACCAUCAGACUUAUUUGCUCUGAAGAGAAAGGGACUGAGUUCAGGAAAGAUGAGAGGAAAUGAGGCUAAAAACGGAAGCAGAAGAAUCUUCAGGCAGUGAAGAAGACAACUUGCGAAGAGCAAAACUUUGUGCAGCCACCUGUAGGCUAAAGAAAGAGUUCUGCAUGCAGCUUACAACAGAAACUGAGAGUGCACAGCUAUUCCUGGAACUAGCAGUUGUGUUCGGGAGAUGGGGAGCGUAUCUUACCAGAGACAUGGGGCACUUCUCCAGCUCUUCCUCGUUCUUAAUCUGGACAUCUGAGAUGGAAACGUACUUGUGCUGGCAAAAUACACAGAGGCAGAGCAAUGAUACAACUAAAGGAUGCAACACAGAGCAACAACAGCAUUUGCUGAGUUUGCUGAGGACUGAAUUUGCAUCAGACCUUUACUGCGGGCUGACAGCAUGCACGGUGCUGCUGCCCCACCGAUCACCCCACAGCCCCACCUGCGAGCUCUGCACCAUGGCUGUCGGUGUCCCCGUACUCGAACUCCACGGCGGGGAAAUCCACGGAGCCCUGCAGAGAGCGGAGCGCUG